UACGGGGGGGGCAAGCGUUGUUCGGAAUUACUGGGCGUAAAGGGCUCGUAGGUUGCCAACUAAGUCAGACGUGAAAUCCCUCGGCUUAACCGGGGAACUGCGUCUGAUACUGGAUGGCUUGAGUUCGGGAGAGGGAUGCGGAAUUCCAGGUGUAGCGGUGAAAUGCGUAGAUAUCUGGAGGAACACCGGUGGCGAAGGCGGCAUCCUGGACCGGUAUUGACGCUGAGGCGCGAAAGCCAGGGGAGCAAACGGG
rnacentral:rRNA from 1 species